GAUGAACGCUAGCUACAGGCUUAACACAUGCAGGUCGAGGGGAAACGAUAUUGGAAGCUUGCUUCCGAUAGGCGUCGACCGGCGCACGGGUGAGUAACGCGUAUCCAACCUGCCCAUCACUUGGGGAUAACCUUGCGAAAGUAAGACUAUUACCCAAUGACGUCUCUAGAAGACAUCUGAAAGAGAUUAAAGAUUUAUCGGUGAUGGAUGGGGAUGCGUCUGAUUAGCUUGUUGGCGGGGUAACGGCCCGCCAAGGCGACGAUCAGUAGGGGUGCUGAGAGGAAGGUCCCCCACAUUGGAACUGAGACACGGGCCAAACUCCUGCGGGAGGCAGCAGUGAGGAAUAUUGGUCAAUGGGCGAGAGCCUGAACCAGCCAAGUAGCGUGCAGGAUGACGGCCCUAUGGGUUGUAAACUGCUUUUAUAAGGGAAUAAAGUGAGCCACGUGUGGCUUUUUGCAUGUACCCUAUGAAUAAGGACCGGCUAAUUCCGUGCCAGCCGCCGCCGUAA
rnacentral:rRNA from 1 species